UGGGGAAUAUUGCGCAAUGGGGGGAACCCUGACGCAGCCAUGCCGCGUGAAUGAAGAAGGCCUUCGGGUUGUAAAGUUCUUUCGGUAUUGAGGAAGGUUGAUGUGUUAAUAGCACAUCAAAUUGACGUUAAAUACAGAAGAAGCACCGGCUAACUCCGUGCCAGCAGCCGCGGUAAUACGGAGGGUGCGAGCGUUAAUCGGAAUAACUGGGCGUAAAGGGCACGCAGGCGGUUAUUUAAGUGAGGUGUGAGAGCCCUGGGCUUAACCUAGGAAUUGCAUUUCAGACUGGGUAACUAGAGUACUUUAGGGAGGGGUAGAAUUCCACGUGUAGCGGUGAAAUGCGUAGAGAUGUGGAGGAAUACCGAAGGCGAAGGCAGCCCCUUGGGAAUGUACUGACGCUCAUGUGCGAAAGCGUGGGGAGCAAACAGGAUUAGAUACCCUGGUAGUCCACGCUGUAAACGCUGUCGAUUUGGGGGUUGGGGUUUAACUCUGGCGCCCGUAGCUAACGUGAUAAAUCGACCGCCUGGGGAGUACGGCCGCAAGGUUA
rnacentral:rRNA from 1 species